rnacentral:rRNA from 1 species
UGGGGAAUUUUGCACAAUGGGGGAAACCCUGAUGCAGCGACGCCGCGUGAUUUAGAAGGCCUUCGGGUUGUAAAAAUCUUUUCUAUGGGAAGAAAAUGACAGUACCAUAGGAAUAAGGACCGGCUAAUUACGUGCCAGCAGCCGCGGUAAUACGUAAGGUCCGAGCGCUGUCCGGAAUCAUUGGGCGUAAAGGGUACGUAGGCGGGUAAGCAAGUUAGAAGUGAAAUCCUAUAGCUCAACUAUAGUAAGCUUUUAAAACUGCUCAUCUUGAGGUAUGGAAGGGAAAGUGGAAUUCCUAGUGUAGCGGUGAAAUGCGCAGAUAUUAGGAGGAAUACCGGUGGCGAAGGCGACUUUCUGGCCAUAACCUGACGCUGGGGUACGAAAGCGUGGGUAGCAAACAGG